UAAUGAACAUUUUCACUGAGCUGUUGUAUCUUACUCCUGUUCUAGAAACUACUCAGCCUUCACAAACCCUCAGUCUCUCAAGAGACACCAUAACAAGCAUAUGGUUAAUCAUGGCCAGUGGAGUCAUUGUUCUGGCCGGACUCACGGGCAUCUGCUUGUGCUGCUUCAACACAGAGAAUCCGGGGAGGUUUGAAUAUUCUGAGGUGCAGUAUGUUGAAGUAUACAUUGUGGGUGGUGUUAUACAUAGACCUGAAUUUGACAAAUUACCAAGAUGAAAAAAAGAUGUGUGCAGCAUAGGGUUAAAUAUUCAAGCUCAGUAGUUGUUGUUGUUGUUUUUUUUUAAAUCUGAUCAAGAUGAAAACAAAAUUAAGAUCUUCUGCCAUAAUGUUUUAACUUCUUUUCCAUUCCUCUUUUUUUUGUGUAAAGAUAAUUUAAACAUUAAGCAAGAGUUUCCAUACUGUAGAGGAUCCAGCAUGUAACAAUACUUUUGUAUUUGGUACUUUUUUGUUUGUUUGUUUUAAGAUGUUUUUUUUGUUAAUAGGGUAUGAUUAUUUGCACCUGUUUCUGCUGAAUGCAGUUUUUGUUUAUUUUUUGUUAAAUGUGAAU